rnacentral:lncRNA from 1 species
AUGCCAUCUGCCCCACAUGCACACAGCAGCCAUGGAGCUGGGCAUGACAGGUGCCAGCAAUACCCCAGCGGCCCCCAGCCCUGCGGGGGCAGAGGGCAGGGGCCUGGCCUGGCAGGGAGCAGCCAGGGAGCGCCCUUGGUCCUGCCCCAGCCCCCAGCCAGCAGCAGGCCCUGCACCCAGCCCUGGCACCAGGGCUGCUUCCGUCCCCAUCUGCACCUGAUCCCCGUGUCCACUCCCACCCCACCCCACCCCACCCCACCCCGUCCCGUCCCGUGCCACCACCACAGCCGCCCCUCUCCCAGCACCGCAGUCACGCCACGCUCCCAUUCCGCUCGCCGCGGCCAAGCCCAGCCGCGCGAAGAACGGACGGACGGACGGACGGACAGACGGACGGACACUGCCCCCAGCACCCGGAGGGGCCGGCGGCCGGAGGGCGCGGUACGAGCGCGGCCGCAGGAAUGCGGGGCCGGCCCCGGGCCCCCGCCCCGCCCGCAGAGCAAACACGGCGGGGGCGGCCCCGGCGGGGCCCCGCUGCCGCCCGACGGGAGCCCCGCGCGGCUGCUCGCGCCCGACCGGGACCGUCGCGGGUCCGCCGUCGCCCCGCGCCCACCGGCCCCAGGAGCCGAGCGGGGAGGGCGGCACCGGAGCGGGGCUGCCGCCUGUGCCCCCCCCUUCCCCCGGCCAUGCAGGGGCGCGGGCGGGGCGCGGGCGUCGCGCGGCUGCAGCAGCGGCUCGGGGCCGCCACGCAGGUACGGGCGCGGGGCGGGGGGGGGGGUGCGGCCCCGGGCUGCGCCGCCGGUGCCAGCGGGACUCUGCCCGCCAGGAGAACGCCCGGUUGCGGCGCACCCUGCGGGAGGCCGAGGCCGGCGUCUCCCAGCUGCAGGCAGAGCUGGAGCGGCUGCGGAAGGACUUCGGGCAGCGGGCGCAGCGGCGCACGAGGUGGCAUCGGGGGCGAGGUGGGAGGGACGAGGGACGAGUGGCGGGGGGCGAGGCGGGACCCCAGACCCAGCCCCUGCUUCGGCACGGCUCUGCAAAACGGGCGCCCCACACGGCCCUGGCCAUGGCCGGGACGGCCCCGGUGCAGCCCGGGGCCAGGCUCCCGUCGGGAAGUGCUGCCCACCCAGCCGUGCUGUGAGCUCCGGCAGCCAUCGGGAAGCCCGUGCAGAGCAGCUGGCAUGUCCCCACCGGCCUGCUGUUAGCCUCCCCUGUGACACCGGGUGUCCCGGGGCUGUCCCAGCACCUCUGCCAGCCCUGCGGAGCCGGGGCUGGAAGGCUGCGGGCAGCCCCAGCCUUUGGAGGCCCUGCCAUGAGGGUGCUGUGUCCCUGCAGAGAGCAGCAGGCCCUGCGGGAGCUGGCAGAGGAGAACCUGGUCUUCACGAGCUACGUCAGGAUGCUGCAGUACGUAGGACCCUGGCAGGGAAGUGGUGGCAGGGGACAGCUGCCGGGACCAGUGCCCGUCCCAGUCCCCGCCAGCCUGGGGCUCAGGCUGCUCCUCCGGGCAGGGCGACGAACAGGAGCCUGUGUGAGAGCAACAGCAGCCUGCGCUCGGCCCUGCUGCUGGGCUCCUGCCAGGGCCCCGGAGCGGUGAGUGCUGCGCAGCGAGGGCAGGGGAAGCGGGUGCUGCUGGGGCUCCCCGCUCGCCCUGCCCGUGCCCCAGCACAGGCGCGUCCAGCACAGGGGCUGCAGCUGGCACCCAGGGUCCUGCCGCAGCCCUGGGUGCUGGGAGCGGUGGACCCCCCCCAGGAGCCACUCCACACUGAUGCCUGCCCCGCAGCCAUGGCCUCCCCUCCAGCCCCACAGCCCCCUUGCUGA